UUUAAAAAAAUUAAAAACAAAAAACACUAAGAAAAAGGGUGUAAAACACUUAAACACUAACAGCUUCAAUUCCUCAACCUGCGUUCUUCAUCCUUCACUCCUUUUUUUUUUUUUUUUUUUUUUUUUUUUUUUUUUUUUUUUUUUUUUUUUUUUUUUUUGGAAAGCCAGUUCUUUACUCCAUCCUCUAUUCUCUACCAAUUACAAGCUUUUAAUCCAAUCACUCUCUUCUAGACUCAAGUGGGAAAUCUCAAAUUCUCAGGUACUUCUCUACAACCUAGUGGUAUCAUCCCUCUUUUGAACACUCCUAGGUGUAUCAAUGCUGACAUGCAUGAUAGCAAGGCCUUUUGAUCUAUCUGUGGUUACCAUCAUAGCAGUCGCUCUAUUUGUUUUGUUUAUUUCACUCUCAGAAUCCCGACAUUCUUUUCUACAGUACUUUAUACAAUAUCACCGGGCUGCCUUGAGAUCUAUACUAGCAGGAACCGGGGUCUUCAAGAGGAGGAAGCUAAAGUUCAAGGAAAGCUGAAGAUAAGCAAGGUUAAGGAGAGGUUCGGCCGAACCCUCUGAAGGUGCGCUCGAACAAGGGUGUGGUCGAACCUGCUCCACUGUCCGGCCGAACGCAGAGGCAGAUUCAAGUUGCAUUUUAGCGAUUUUGUAGGAGUGGUCAAACCUCAGAAGUUCAACCAGACUAGGAUCAAGGGAGUUCGAUCGAACCUACCCAUGGUUCGGCCGAACCUACCCUACAGUCCGGCCGAACCUUCCCUGUGUUCGGUCGGACCACUCCCUUACUUCAGCUAGCUGUGUAUGGACUAUAUAAGUCCCAUUUGAGAACGUUUUGAUGUAAUUAGAUUAACUUAGUUUUAACUUUCUGCAUUUUUAGCUUAAUCUAGAGAGAGAAACACUAUUAGUCUUCAUUUGGUAG